GGCCCCUGCAGGUUGGGGAGGCUGCCUGGGAAGGAUGGGUUCAGCGGGUGGCAUUGGCUGCUGAGGUGAGCAGGCGCCGCCAAGCCUGCUUUAAACGUGACAGCUGGCCUUUGUUUGCCGAACAGAUGUGGGCUGCAGUUCCCAUGAACUGGGGAGGACUUGCAAAGCUGGGCCCCUUCUUAAUCGAUCUGCAAAUGUACCGAGGAAUUGAAGACAUGUGGCUGCUAAGCAGUGUGGAGUGUAGACCCAAGUCGUGGGCUUUGCCACCAAAUAGGCCUAAGUCAAAAACCCCUGCCCACCACUGCAUUAACUGUGCCGUCUCCAUCAGGUCAUCAGCCGGCUCCUGACCGCCCUCUUCUCCACACUGAAGGUCAAGGGGAGGCGGGUGACCAGGUUUGCACCCAGCCUGGCUCCUCCUGAGUGGCUUCUUUGGUCCUGAAAGAUCUUCAGAUUCUCAUCUGGGUUUCUGAGGCUACAGUUUCUCUCUGGCCCAGCAACAUGGAUGGAGCUGGAGAAUAUUUUAUAAGUGAAAGAAGCCGGUUACAGAAAUUCGACCUCGCAGGAGCUUGCAUCUAUGGGGAUGGAGUUUUGAUUGGACAGAAGAGGUAAGUUCUGGAGAUGGGCUGCAGAGAAAUGGUGAGGGGAGGGGAUAAGCACGUACUGCAUCCUUGGAGACAGCUCAGAGUAAACAAAAGUCUGUGAGGUGAGGACCUAGCAUGAUCCAAUUGUUUCCCAAUGUAUAAACACACCCCAGUCUCACUGUGUAUACUGUGAAGGGAUACAAAUGUUUUGUCCAAGAAAAAUUUUAAAGAAAAAAAAAUUUUGUUGUUCUACAAAUAUGCUGAUCUUGAUGAUUAAACCAAUCUUGCAUUCCACUGACGGCCCUGAGCUGAUCCUUCAGAGAUCCAGCCCUGGCAUGGCAUGCUUUUCUUUCCCAUCAUAUAGGUUGUUCUCUCUCCCAGAAGCCCCACAGAGGUAUCCUUCCUGUCUUUCAAGUGUUAAUUUAAACACCCCUUCUGGAAAAGAUCUUUCUUUCAGUUGCCUCCGCUCCCCAGGUAAAAGGGCAGCAGAGCCCAUCUCUCUCUCCCCCUCUGACCAGGUUCACCUUUGCCUCUCCCAUUGAAACCACCUUGUUCUUGCUAGGCCAAGCUCUCCGACUCUCUGCCCUCCCAGAGAGAACUCGCUUAAUUUGUUCACGGAUGGGACCUUGCAUAGGUCAGGCAAACAGUAGGUACUCAGUAAGUGCUUGUGCCAAGUGGGUCAGCUCUAGUUAACCUCACCAAUCUCUCUGUGUCAAAUUCUGGGCUGUCAUUCCAGGGACACCUUGUCUAUUGCUGCGUCGGCCCUCAUGAUUGUCCUCUUUCCAUCUCUUUCCACAGAGGGCUUGUAGGAUCCUGCACAGACAGUGAAGUGCAGAAUGGUAGAAAAUUAAGACCCAGAAGCAAGAGAUGGAGAGGGCAGAGGAGUGGGCAGCAGUCACAGUGCGGGCUCCAUCCCGCUUCCGAGGGACCAGGCUGGGUUUUCUCAAGGGCAGCUACAAGAACUGGCUGGGUCUUCAUCCCCUGGAUGAAGCUUGCCGUGAACAUCACUGCUCUCAGAAAGUUUUUGAUGCAGAAGGGUGGCACAGAGCUCCAGGUUACGUUCUCGGGAAAGAACUUGCCGAGUGGGUUUUCCCGCAGGUAUUUGUAUGUUUUGACAGUUAGUAGAGCAGGUGACAUGUUUUUCAAUAGAAAUUGAGGAUCCUGAUCAGAACCUAUACCUGUCUGGCUGUCACAGUUGCGGGAGUCACCACACUCACUCCAAGGGACUUGUGAAUGGAAACCCUUCCUGCCUGCCUUCCCGCUUCCCUUCCCGCCUCCUCUUCCCUCCCCAGUUGUCUCUUCUUUCAGUCCUCCCUUCCACGUCACCUCUUUCUCUCCGCUGUCAAGACAGGGCGGUGUCAAACUCACGACCCUCCUCCCGGAGCCGCCCAAAUGCUGGAUCACAGGUGUGCACUCUCAUGCCUGAUUUGCACAAUGGACAUCUCAAGGCCACAUUAGAGUUUUAUGCCUGCCUGGGGUGACCAUGUCCCAGCACGUGUGUGUGUGUGUGUGUGUGUGUGUGUGUGUGUGUGUGUGUGUGUGUGUGGUUUUGAAUCACCAAUGGAGCAUUCGUGCAAGUUCUGCUUCUUUAGUUGACCUGUGACCUGAGGCCAGCCACAUCAAGGAUUUCCUCCCCCUUGGUGGGGUGACUUCAAAGAUGAUCCCUACAAAUUCUGCCUCCUGGCUCUCCUGCUCUUGGAUAAUACCCUCAUGGGAAGUCUGGGCUGGCUUGUGACUCAGUUUAACAAAAAGGACAAAGAACUGUGAUGCAAUGCCAGGCUUAGGCUGAGCCUCAGGAAACUCUGGAAGCUUCUCCUUGUGAGACCCUGAGCUGCCAGGUAAGAAGCCAGGCUAGUGUCCUUCAGUGACCGCAUGGGAAGAUUGCUCGUGGAGACGUCACAUAAGUGGAGACAGAACCCCAGCCCUUCUGCCACCCUUUUAAGCACAAGCCAUAUGAAGAAUCAAACUGGGAUCUCCCAGUCUGGCCCAGCUGUGUGCCCAGCUGCUACUGCAUGCAGCAGAAGAGGCAUCCAGCUGAGCCUUGUCAGUCUCUGCCCAGUCAACUCCCAAGAGAUGGGUAGAUACUAAGCUAAGUUUGGGAUGAUUUGUCGGCCGGGACAGAUAACAGAAAUGCUCGGGUACCACACCCACUCCUAUAUCUGUUGCUCUCUACAGGAGUCGCUGGCCUGGGAUGUAUGAGGGGGAUCCCCUGCCCUCCUGUCCUCCUCACAAUUUCUUCCACAUCCUAGGAUUGAGACACUCUUAGGCUUUGAUCCAAGUGAGUGGUUAGUGGGGUCUGGUAUCUGGCUUGGAAGCCCCCUUAGAAUGGGUCAGGGGCCUUUUGGAAUUCUGGCAGCAUGUCACCCGGCAGACAGGCACCUGUUUAAGUGGCUAAUUCAGUCAAGGAGCCGAGACACGCUACACUGCUCCACCGUACCUGGAAUCCUAACAGGCCGGGACACCAGAGAGAUCAUCAGAACCGGAGGCGUGCUGACCCGGCCCCAGGCAUUGGGCUGAGGUCUGCUCAGGAUUCAGAGCCUUUGGGACUGCAACCAGCAAAAACACUGGGGUCUGCUUGCCCAGGACCCUGACAGCUUCCUGGGACAGACUCACCUAAGAGGAGAAGAUGGUAAAAAUCAUGGGCAGGCUGUGGGAAGGGCUGGGGAUCUGGGCUCAGGAGAGGCUUUCUCUAGAGGUACAGACCCCAGCCCAGCUUCAGCCGAGGGCAGAUAGCAAGAGGCUGUAACUGGAGAGAAAAUAGAUUUCUCUGCUUUCCCAGCUGGAGCACACAGGGAGAAGGAACCCUGGACAACACAGAGAUGCUUCCCAGGGUCGGAGGGCUGAGAAUCAGGGACUCCUCAUGUUUCCUUUCAGCUUCUUCCUCACCCACUAUAUGUUGGGGAAAAUUAUUUUAAGGUGUGUUACUUUUGUUUAUGUUGCAUUUGUUUAACUCUGUGAGGAUGUGUUACUGUGCCUGACUAAAAUGCCAGGCGGUGGUGGUGCACGCCUUAAAUCCUAGCACUUGGGAGGCAGAGCCAGGCAGAUCUCUGUGAGUUCGAGGCCAGCCUGGGCUACAAAGUGAGUUCCAGGAAAGGCGCAAAGCUACACAGAGAAAACCUGUCUCGAAAAAAUAAAAUAAAAUAAAGAAAAUAAAUAAAAUACCUGACGGUCUAAUAAAAAGCUGAAUGGCCAAUGGCGAGGCAGGAGAAAGGAUAGGCGAGGCAGGCAGGCAGAGAGAAUUAAUAGAAGGAGAAAUCUGGAAGGAAUAAGAGCCAGAGAAGGAGGAAGACUCCUUGGCCAGCCACCCAAUUACACAGCAAGCCACGGAGUUAAACAAACGCAACAUAAAUAGAUGUAACACACUUUACAAUAAUAGUCCUCAACAGCUGUGCGUCACCCUCCCUCUUCUUCACACCCAAGUUGGAGCCUGAGGGCUGAAAGACCCGGGUCAAGUGCACUCCUUAACACCCUUCCUUCAGCCAUACUCAUUCCCAGUACCUAGCAGUGUUUUCUAGCAGCUUCUCCCUCUUGAUCCAGGCAGCUGUGGCGAUGGCUAAGCAGCUAUCCCAGGUGUGACUUCCAGGUAUGCCUGUCUAUGCACGGGCCAAGACAGUGUCUGUGAGGAGCUGAGCAUUCUGGGGACUACCCAUGGGUACGCUUUCCACAGUGAUGGGCAGAAAUCAGAUACAAACAAGGGUGGGAGGUGGGGGAUUAGAAGGAGACAGUCAGUGUCGGAGUUGUCCAAGUGCAGGGUUGACAUCUGGGUGUCACUUGGAACUCUUCACACAGCCUGCACCCACGUGUCUCAUUUGGCUCUCUCUAGUCCUGGUCUUGGUGAGAAGUUAGCACCCCUCCUGCAUGCAACACCAGCUCCCCACUUUCUGGCACCCUGGAGAGCUCCCAAAGGACACUCCUUGGCCUGGCAGGGCCCCUCCAUUGUGUUUGGAGCUGCUGAUGGAGUGGGAUACUUCUCAAUGAGUACAGGUAUCAGAGACCAGGGGCUUGAGUGUACCUGAGACUCAUGGGGGCCUUUGGAGGAUUGGGGGGUGUGGCCUAAGGGUUAGGAGUGUGUGAAAAAGCCAGGUUUCUCUAGGACUGGUAGAGGAUGGAGUCAAGAGAAAAUGUCAACUCAGCCCUGUUUCUAUGACCUUGUUCCUAAACUCCAGCUGGGUGGUUUGGAAAACAGGUUACAUCAAUUUUCAGCAUACUUUCCCUUGCCUAGGAUCUUUGGUCCAUCUACUGAUCCCCCAGUGGACAGCUGUUACCUGUUCCUGCUCACAUGGGGCAAACUGAGGCUCACGGGGGCCAGGCUGCUCACUCAACAGGCACAGCAUCAUGCAGUUAGGAAGAGAACUGCCAGGGAAGGAAUCCAGUUCUGCCUCUCUGUGCCCAUGGGGAACCAAAGCCAGGAAUCCCAAGUGCAUCCUGAAGGCCAGGUGGUCAGCCGGACACCGAAAACCAACUCCACAGCCUCUCUUUAAUUUCCGACCCCCCUGUGUCACAUAGCUCAGGUGAUGCUUAGCCAGCUCACCAUGCAUUUCCAGAUUUGUGACAAGCCCGUCACUAUCCUGGGUUGACAAUGUGUGACCCCAACUCCCCACCCUUCUUCAGCCGUAGCGGCCCAGGUGCCUCUCUGACUGCUGCCAGUGCAGGACAGCUCAGCUAGAGCCUGCUGUGGCUCCUCCUCGGCUAGAAGCUUUUCAUCCUGUUCCCUGGUAGCCCCCAAGGUCACGCCUCACUUUGACAGAGAGCAGAGGACAAAGCCCAGACAGGUGGAAGCAAGAAGGACCCACAGCGGGGAACACCUGUCCUGACCUUCCCAAACCCCAGGUCCCCCACCAGGCAGUCUUUGAAAAUGGAACCUGUGCUUCUGCUCA